UACGGGGGGGGCAAGCGUUGUUCGGAAUUACUGGGCGUAAAGGGCGCGUAGGCGGCCUGCUAAGUCGAACGUGAAAUCCCCGAGCUCAACUCGGGAACUGCGUCCGAUACUGGCAGGCUUGAAUCCGGGAGAGGGAUGCGGAAUUCCAGGUGUAGCGGUGAAAUGCGUAGAUAUCUGGAGGAACACCGGUGGCGAAGGCGGCAUCCUGGACAGGCAUUGACGCUGAGGCGCGAAAGCCAGGGGAGCAAACGGG
rnacentral:rRNA from 1 species